rnacentral:rRNA from 1 species
CCUACGGGUGGCAGCAGUAGGGAAUAUUGCUCAAUGGGGGAAACCCUGAAGCAGCAACGCCGCGUGGAGGAUGAAGGUUUUAGGAUUGUAAACUCCUUUUGUUCGAGAAGAUUAUGACAGUAUCUAACGAAUAAGCACCGGCUAACUCCGUGCUAGCAGCCGCGGUAAUACGGAGGGUGCAAGCGUUACUCGGAAUCACUGGGCGUAAAGAGUGCGUAGGCGGGGUAAUAAGUCAGAUGUGAAAUCCUGUAGCUUAACUACAGAACUGCAUUUGAAACUGUUACUCUGGAGUGCUGGAGAGGUAGGUGGAAUUCUUGGUGUAGGGGUAAAAUGCGUAGAGAUCAAGAGGAAUACUCAUUGCGAAGGCGACCUGCUGGAACAUUACUGACGCUGAUGCACGAAAGCGUGGGGAGCAAACAGGAUUAGAUACCCUUGUAGUC